ensembl:snRNA U1 U1 spliceosomal RNA
ACACCAUCUUUUAAAAAAAAUGAUAAUAGAUCACGAAGGUGGUUUUCCCAAGGCAAGGCUUAUCCAUUGUACUCCGGAUGUGCUGACCCCUGCGAUUUCCCCAAAUGUGGGAAACUCGACUGCAUAAUUUGUGGUAGUGGGGGACUCCGUUCGCGCUCUCUAU